UCCGUAGGUGAACCUGCGGAAGGAUCAUUACUGUUUGCUUACGGCUGCCCCUCGGGACUGCCCGUAACGCUCACCCUUUGCCCUUUUCGAACCUGUUUGUUCCCCCUCGCCGGGCUCGCCCGGCGGGGGUCCAUUCAAAAACCUUGCAGUACAGCAGUACCUGUCUGAAAUAUAUCAAAUGUUAAAACUUUCAACAAUGGAUCUCUUGGUUCUGGCAUCGAUGAAGAACGCAGCGAAAUGCGAUACGUAGUGUGAAUUGCAGAAUUCAGUGAAUCAUCGAAUCUUUGAACGCACAUUGCGCCCUUUGGCAUUCCUUAGGGCAUGCCUGUUCGAGCGUCAUUUUCACCCAUCAAGCCCGGCUUGGUGUUGGGCGCCUGUCCGGCUUCGCCGGACUCGCCUAGAAAGCAUUGGCGGCCCGUCCCGCGGCUUGGAGCGCAGCACAGUCGCGCCUCCACGCCCCGGGCUGGCGACCAGCAAGCGAAUUUUACCACUUUGACCUCGGAUCAGGUAGGGAUACCCGCUGAACUUAAGCAUAUCAAUAAGCGGAGGAAAAGAAACCAACAGGGAUUGCCCUAGUAACGGCGAGUGAAGCGGCAACAGCUCAAAUUUGAAAUCUGGCUCCUUCGGGGUCCGAGUUGUAAUUUGCAGAGGGAGCUUUGGUGUUGGCAGCGGUCUAAGUUCCCUGGAACAGGACGUCACAGAGGGUGAGAACCCCGUACGUGGCCGCCCGCCUUCGCCGUGUAAAGCCCCUUCGACGAGUCGAGUUGUUUGGGAAUGCAGCUCUAAAUGGGAGGUAAAUUUCUUCUAAAGCUAAAUACUGGCCAGAGACCGACAGCGCACAAGUAGAGUGAUCGAAAGAUGAAAAGCACUUUGGAAAGAGAGUCAAAAAGCACGUGAAAUUGUUGAAAGGGAAACGCUUGAAGU
rnacentral:rRNA from 1 species